AAAGUCCUGAUGUGUUCGUUGUACACCUAGUUUUGACCUAACAUUAUAGAUUCGGGAGCUUGUUGUUUCUACAUGUAGUAAAUGCCUUUUAUUCAAAGCGAGGACUUACAACCAUCUAGAAUAGAGCACCCACCUGCUAAGGGCGGGAUCAAAACGAGGGAAACGGCAACGGCAUAAUUGGGACUAAU
rnacentral:other from 1 species